rnacentral:rRNA from 1 species
GAUGAACGCUGGCGGCGUGCCUAACACAUGCAAGUCGAGCGAUUCUCCUCGGAGAAGAGCGGCGGACGGGUGAGUAACGCGUGGGUAACCUGCCCUGUACACACGGAUAACAUACCGAAAGGUAUGCUAAUACGAGAUAAUAUGCUUUUAUCGCAUGGUAGAAGUGUCAAAGCUCCGGCGGUACAGGAUGGACCCGCGUCUGAUUAGCUAGUUGGUAAGGUAACGGCUUACCAAGGCGACGAUCAGUAGCCGACCUGAGAGGGAGAUCGGCCACAUGGGCGCUGAGACACGGUCCAAACUCAUACGGGAGGCAGCAGUGGGGAAUAUUGCACAAUGGGCGAAAGCCUGAUGCAGCAACGCCGCGUGAGGGAUGAAGGCCUUCGGGUCGUAAAGCUCUGUCCUCAAGGAAGAUAAUGACGGUACUUGAGGAGGAAGCCCCGGCUAACUACGUGCCAGCCGCCGCGGUAACAC